rfam:Elusimicrobia bacterium RIFCSPHIGHO2_02_FTLL_61_10 rifcsphigho2_02_scaffold_189600, whole genome shotgun sequence.
UUGCUAUAAUAUUUUUAUUCUGGCGGAGGAAGCUGGUGCGAAUCCAGAGCUGCCCCGCAACGGUGAUGUCCGUCCCUACGGACUAAGCCCGGUCUACCGCCGGAAUCGUCGCACCCUGCGAGGGACGGAACUCCUU